UCUUCUUCAUUCUUCUUUCUCCUUCUCUUUCUUUCUUUCUUCCCUGUUCUUCUUCUGUUUUUGAUUUCGAGAAUCAAUUCAUGAUUAUGAGUUAAUGUAAAGAUGGAAAAGAUCGAAGGUUAGUUGAUAGUGGUAGUUUUGGUUUAUACGGUGAAAUCAAACCCAGCGGAAAAGGUGAAACAAAGAAUUAUAAUUAGGGUUCCAGAAAUAUGAAAUCGACUGAAUAUUUAUAGGAUAUUAAGGAUGAAAUUGAGUUCUUAAUACCGAAAGAAUGAAGGGGUUGUUAUGCAAUUGAAGUUAUGAAUAUUUUUGAUGAAAAAUCAUCGAGUUAGGGUUUGUACGAAAUUAGAGAAGCUUUAGAAGAAUGGAACUGAUGUUUAAGAAAGGUGGUUUGAAGAUGGGUAUUGUGUUAAUUUGACAGUUGAGGUGUUGAGUUGAUAAUAAGUGAAUUAAAGUUUGUAAUAAUUUCUGAAGAAGAUUCAUAAGACGAAAUUGAAAGAUUAGUAGAUUAAUUGGAGGUGGGUUAAUGUGAAUUUAAGAGUUAAGAUUGAAGAAUAACUAAGUUUGAUAGUUAGAGUUUUGUAUUUGAAGCUCAGAUGGAGGAUUCAAGUUACUAAUGGAGUUGGGUUUGAAUUGUCUUUUUAUAAGAAGAUGAUGAAGUUGUUAUGAGUUAUGAACCGGUUAGUGUUUAAGAAAAAUAGUUUUGAGGUAAUUGUUCUCCUUUGUGAUCUUAGUUAAGUUUUGCAAAUUGUGUUGUUGAAUCUAUGGAUUUAUCUGUAGGCAGAGAAGUCCAUAAUUGAGAUUGGGUAAUUAUUGUUGUUAGGAAGAUUAUGUUGUUGAUUGAAUUCAGAAUCUGUUGGAUGAAUACUAAGUAGUUGCAGGUGGUGUAUGGAAAGUGAAUGAGUUUAGCAUUAUACUUGAAUUUGUUGUUAUAGCUGGAACUUGGACUGUGGUUUGAAUUUAGGUUAAAUUAUUGAGAUAAGAAGUGAUAUGAACUGGAAUUCUAGAUGUAGCUGAGAUAUAUAGAAUUACAGUGAAUCUGGUAUGGGUUGGGUUCGUACAUGAAGUGUAUUUGCUGAAAAAUGUUAUGAUGUAAAACUUGGUACGAGUCGGAUGAACUAGAAUUGCGAGAAUGUGAAGUUAGAGGUGUGUUGGUGCUGAGAUGAACUGCAGGUGAUGUUGGUAUGGUAAGUACAGGGUUUUGGAGAUGUUAAAGGAGUUGAAUUGCAGGUUUGAGAAGUUGCAGUUGGGGGUAGGACUAGUGGCUCAAGAAGUGUUAGAUGAACUUAGUAUUGGAGAUAUAUUAGGUAUUGUCUUGACUGUUGCAAAUGAAGAAAAUCAAUGAACUGUAAAUCAGUUGAAGAAUGAACUUAGUCGAUGGAUUGACUACAACUGAUUAAUUGUGUUUAUAGAAUGAGUGUGGCUUCGUACUGCAUCUGCAGUUUCAGAGACAGAUCAGAGUUGCGCAGCGAAAGCUUCGAGGAGUUGACUCCGUCAAUUAGUUAACUUCUGUUAUGUUUAUUAUGUUGUAUAUUCUGUUUUAUAAACCAAAUGACUAUUGUAUAUGUAUCAUUUGAGAGAAGUUCUUGUAUAAAUAUAUAUUUCUGAGCGGGUUAGUUUUGGGUUAAGUUUUAUAGCCGAUUUCUUAAUUUAAUGCUUAAGUAUUUGUCUUAGAUUCUUCGUGCCUCUUUAAUUAGUUAAUCUCUUGGAUUAGUCAGCUGCUAGCUUAGAAGGCGCUACA